GGGGACUGAGAAAUCCUGUUGAGCUGCGUUCCCAAGAGGAAAGGAAGUUGUUUUGGUGGAUACCUCGCAGCUUCAGCCACAGCAGUGGAACGAAGCAGGUGCCUCUCCUUACCCCCUAUCCACUCCCUGUUAGGUAGGAUCCAGGUCGGCUAAGCAUGCUGGCUUCAACAGCAGGGAUGUGAGGUGAGGGAGGACAGCGAUGCAGGAGGAAUGGAGAUGCGUCUAACACGGGGUCAGACGGCAGAUUCGAGGGCUCCCUGAUGAAUGAGCAAACGCUGGCUCCAGCAUAUUUACUGCGUCACCUAAAACAUUGACUGCCUACUUAGAAGAUACACCCAGGAGCCUCGCAAUGCUCUGCCUGCAGGGGGAACAAAGAAGAGCCUGGCGGAAGCUUUUAAAGUCAUAAGACAAUCAUCGGCCACCGGACUCCGAGUCCAUUAGCAUAAUUGAAUUGUCUUGGGGCUGCAGUUGAUAAAGGAAUCUACAAUCAACUUUUUAACCCAGUCCAGAGUUGUUGUAUGUACACUCGAGACCCAAAGGAAGGACAGAGAAUUUUCCUCACCUCAGCCCAAAAGGAGGCUGGAAUGCAUGCUUGCCUGCCACAGUUUCCACUUACUUACCACCAUCAGUCAGCAGGCUUUUAGGAGAGAAUUGCACGUGUGAUUUAUUUGCAAAUCCUUUCAGGUCCUGGAGGAGAGAUACUUGGUACACAAUGCACUUUGUCAUCACGUGUCAACAUCCCCUCAAUGCAGGGAGCAGCACUACACGAUGUAAAGGUGGAACUGGAUUGUGCUGGGAUCCUUCAAUCAGCAUUUCAUUUAGAGCUGCAGCAUUUGCAGAGCCAUUUGCAAUUGAUGCCAGCCCCUUGGAGGGGGUCAGCGUGUAGAAGACAAAGGACAGCCAUAAAGCCACUGAAUGCAAACUUUAUAUUUA
rnacentral:lncRNA from 10 species